rfam:TPA: Bos taurus chromosome 1, whole genome shotgun sequence.
UCCUUUGUGGUCCAGCAGUUAAGAAUUCAUGCUCUCAAUGCAGGGGGCCCGGGUUCAAUUCCUGGUUAGGGAA